AAUCAACGCUGGCGGCGUGCCUCAGACAUGCAAGUCGAACGAUUAAAGCUCUCUUCGGAGAGUGUAUAGAGUGGCGCACGGGUGAGUAACACGUAAGUAAUCUACCCUCGAGUGGGGAAUAACAACCGGAAACGGUUGCUAAUACCGCAUAAUGCAGCGGCACCGCAAGGUGACAGUUGUUAAAGAUUUAUCGCUUGAGGAGGAGCUUGCGGCAGAUUAGCUAGUUGGUAGGGUAACGGCUUACCAAGGCUACGAUCUGUAACCGGUCUAAGAGGACGGUCGGUCACACUGACACUGAAUAACGGGUCAGACUCCUACGGGAGGCAGCAGUCGGGAAUUUUGGGCAAUGGGCGAAAGCCUGACCCAGCAACGCCGCGUGAAGGAUGAAGUAUUUCGGUAUGUAAAUUUCGAAAGAAUAGGAAGAAUUAAUGACGGUACUAUUUAUAAGGUCCGGCUAACUACGUGCCAGCAGCCGCGGUAAU
rnacentral:rRNA from 1 species